AUUUAACAACGUAUACAAAGAUAGCAAAAGCAAUAGUACUCAGACUUAUAUACCACUUUACAGUCCUCUCUAAGCAGUUUACAGAGUCACCAUAUUGCCUCCAACAAUCUGGGUCCUCAUUUUACCCACCUUGGAAGGAUGGAAGGCUGAGUUAACCU